UACAGAGGGUGCGAGCGUUGUUCGGAAUUACUGGGCGUAAAGAGCUCGUAGGCGGUCUGUUGCGUCGGCUGUGAAAACCCGAGGCUCAACCUCGGGCCUGCAGCCGAUACGGGCAGACUAGAGUUCGGCAGGGGAGACUGGAAUUCCUGGUGUAGCGGUGAAAUGCGCAGAUAUCAGGAGGAACACCGGUGGCGAAGGCGGGUCUCUGGGCCGAUACUGACGCUGAGGAGCGAAAGCGUGGGGAGCGAACAGG
rnacentral:rRNA from 1 species